GACGAACGCUGGCGGCGUGCUUAAUACAUGCAAGUCGAACGGAAAGGCCCUGCUCUUGUGGGGUGCUCGAGUGGCGAACGGGUGAGUAACACGUGAGUAACCUGCCCUUGACUUUGGGAUAACUUCAGGAAACUGGGGCUAAUACCGGAUAGGAGCACCUGCUGCAUGGUGGGGGUUGGAAAGUUUCGGCGGUUGGGGAUGGACUCGCGGCUUAGCAGCUUGUUGGUGGGGUAGUGGCUUACCAAGGCUUUGACGGGUAGCCGGCCUGGGAGGGUGACCGGCCACAUUGGGACUAAGAUACGGCCCAGACUCCUACGGGAGGCAGCAGUGGGGAAUAUUGCGCAAUGGGCGGAAGCCUGAUGCAGCAACGCCGCGUGCGGGAUGACGUCCUUCGGGUUGUAAACCGCUUUCGCCUGUGACGAAGCGUGAGUGACGGUAAUGGGUAAAGAAGCACCGGCUAACUACGUG
rnacentral:rRNA from 1 species